ACCAUGAUCAAGUCUAGGACCUCUUAUAAGUGAGACAUGAGCCCUACCACUAAAUUAAAUUCCAGUUUUUUUUUUAAAGAAGAUUUUAACAAUACAGAGCUCUGUGUGUUCACUGUAAGCGCAGACCAACAAGAUAAUCUUCCUACUUUUGAACGAACUGUCUUUACUAGAGGCUGUUCUUCCAGUUGUCAGGGAGAAACUGGUAACUGGAGUGAGACAGUAGGGACAUGGUUUAUUUGGUGCUCCUGAAGGACUUGGCUUGUGUUGUGACCACUGAGACAUGAACACAGAUAUUUGGUAAUCUGAUGGCA